AGAGUUUGAUCCUGGCUCAGGAUGAACGCUAGCUACAGGCUUAACACAUGCAAGUCGAGGGGCAGCAUCAUCAAAGCUUGCUUUGAUGGAUGGCGACCGGCGCACGGGUGAGUAACACGUAUCCAACCUGCCGACAACACUGGGAUAGCCUUUCGAAAGAAAGAUUAAUACCGGGUGGCAUAAUUAUUCCGCAUGGGAUAAUUAUUAAAGAAUUUCGGUUGUCGAUGGGGAUGCGUUCCAUUGGG
rnacentral:rRNA from 1 species